rnacentral:rRNA from 1 species
UACGUAGGGGGCUAGCGUUGUCCGGAAUCAUUGGGCGUAAAGAGCGCGUAGGCGGCCAGAUAAGUCCGGUGUGAAAGUCAAAGGCUCAACCUUUGAAUGCCGCUGGAAACUGUCUGGCUAGAGUCCGGGAGGGGCGAGUGGAAUUCCUGGUGUAGCGGUGGAAUGCGCAGAUAUCAGGAGGAACACCAAUAGCGAAGGCAGCUCGCUGGGACGUUACUGACACUAAGGCGCGAAAGCGUGGGGAGCGAACAGG